rnacentral:rRNA from 1 species
GUUGUAUGGUUAAGUGACUAAGCGUACACGGUGGAUGCCUUGGCAGUCAGAGGCGAUGAAAGACGUAGUAACUUGCGAUAAGCCCAGAUUAGGUAGUAACAACCAUUUGAGUCUGGGAUUUCUGAAUGGGGAAACCCACGUGCAUAAGCACGUAUCCUUACCUGAAUACAUAGGGUAAGGAGGCGAACCGGGGGAACUGAAACAUCUAAGUACCCCGAGGAAAAGAAAUCAACCGAGAUUCCGAAAGUAGCGGCGAGCGAAAUUGGACUAGCCCUUAAGCUUUACACGCGUUAGACGAACGGUCUGGAAAGUCCGACGAUACAGGGUGAUAGUCCCGUAGUUGACGACGUGUGUUCAGUGAAAUCGAGUAGGGCGGGACACGUGAUAUCCUGUCUGAAUAUGGGGGGACCAUCCUCCAAGGCUAAAUACUACUGACUGACCGAUAGUGAACCAGUACCGUGAGGGAAAGGCGAAAAGAACCCCUGUGAGGGGAGUGAAAUAGAACCUGAAACCGUGUACGUACAAGCAGUAGGAGCAGGCUUUGUCCUGUGACUGCGUACCUUUUGUAUAAUGGGUCAGCGACUUAUAUUCAGUGGCAAGGUUAACCAUCUAGGGGAGCCGUAGGGAAACCGAGUCUUAACUGGGCGUUCAGUCUCUGGAUAUAGACCCGAAACCAGGUGAUCUAGCCAUGGGCAGGUUGAAGGUUGAGUAACAUCAACUGGAGGACCGAACCGACUAAUGUUGAAAAAUUAGCGGAUGACUUGUGGCUAGGGGUGAAAGGCCAAUCAAACCUGGAGAUAGCUGGUUCUCCCCGAAAGCUAUUUAGGUAGCGCCUCGGACGAAUACUACUGGGGGUAGAGCACUGUUAAGGCUAGGGGGUCAUCCCGACUUACCAACCCUUUGCAAACUCCGAAUACCAGUAAGUACUAUCCGGGAGACACACGGCGGGUGCUAACGUCCGUCGUGGAGAGGGAAACAACCCAGACCGCCAGCUAAGGUCCCAAAUUACUACUAAGUGGGAAACGAUGUGGGAAGGCUCAGACAGCCAGGAUGUUGGCUUAGAAGCAGCCAUCAUUUAAAGAAAGCGUAAUAGCUCACUGGUCGAGUCGGCCUGCGCGGAAGAUGUAACGGGGCUAAGUAGUAAACCGAAGCUGCGGCAAUAUACUUUUGUAUAUUGGGUAGGGGAGCGUUCUGUAAGCGGUUGAAGGUGUGUGGUAACGCAUGCUGGACGUAUCAGAAGUGCGAAUGCUGACAUGAGUAACGAUAAAGGGGGUGAAAAACCUCCUCGCCGGAAGACCAAGGGUUCCUGUCCAACGUUAAUCGGGGCAGGGUAAGUCGACCCCUAAGGCGAGGCCGAAAGGCGUAGUCGAUGGGAAACGGGUUAAUAUUCCCGUACUUCUUACAAUUGCGAUGGGGGGACGGAGAAGGCUAGGUGGGCCUGGCGACGGUUGUCCAGGUUCAAGUGCGUAGGCUUGAGAGUUAGGUAAAUCCGGCUCUCUUUAAGGCUGAGACACGACGUCGAGCACCUACGGGUGUGAAGUCAUUGAUGCCAUGCUUCCAGGAAAAGCCUCUAAGCUUCAGAUUGUAAGGAAUCGUACCCCAAACCGACACAGGUGGUCGGGUAGAGAAUACCAAGGCGCUUGAGAGAACUCGGGUGAAGGAACUAGGCAAAAUGGUACCGUAACUUCGGGAGAAGGUACGCUCUCGACGGUGAAGUCCCUUGCGGAUGGAGCUAUUGAGAGUCGCAGAUACCAGGUGGCUGCAACUGUUUAUUAAAAACACAGCACUGUGCAAAAUCGUAAGAUGACGUAUACGGUGUGACGCCUGCCCGGUGCCGGAAGGUUAAUUGAUGGGGUUAGACUUCGGUCGAAGCUCUUGAUCGAAGCCCCGGUAAACGGCGGCCGUAACUAUAACGGUCCUAAGGUAGCGAAAUUCCUUGUCGGGUAAGUUCCGACCUGCACGAAUGGCGUAAUGAUGGCCACGCUGUCUCCACCCGAGACUCAGUGAAAUUGAAAUCGCUGUGAAGAUGCAGUGUACCCGCGGCUAGACGGAAAGACCCCGUGAACCUUUACUACAGCUUGGCACUGAACAUUGACCCUACAUGUGUAGGAUAGGUGGGAGGCUUUGAAGCACGUACGCCAGUAUGUGUGGAGCCGUCCUUGAAAUACCACCCUUGUAGUGUUGAUGUUCUAACGUUGACCCCUAAUCGGGGUUGCGGACAGUGCCUGGUGGGUAGUUUGACUGGGGCGGUCUCCUCCCAAAGAGUAACGGAGGAGCACGAAGGUGGGCUAAUCACGGUUGGACAUCGUGAGGUUAGUGCAAUGGCAUAAGCCCGCUUGACUGCGAGAAUGACAAUUCGAGCAGGUGCGAAAGCAGGUCAUAGUGAUCCGGUGGUUCUGAAUGGAAGGGCCAUCGCUCAACGGAUAAAAGGUACUCCGGGGAUAACAGGCUGAUACCGCCCAAGAGUUCAUAUCGACGGCGGUGUUUGGCACCUCGAUGUCGGCUCAUCACAUCCUGGGGCUGAAGUCGGUCCCAAGGGUAUGGCUGUUCGCCAUUUAAAGUGGUACGCGAGCUGGGUUUAGAACGUCGUGAGACAGUUCGGUCCCUAUCUGCCGUGGGCGUUGGAAGAUUGAAGGGGGCUGCUCCUAGUACGAGAGGACCGGAGUGGACGAACCUCUGGUGUUCGGGUUGUGUCGCCAGACGCAUUGCCCGGUAGCUAAGUUCGGAAUCGAUAACCGCUGAAAGCAUCUAAGCGGGAAGCGAGCCCUGAGAUGAGUCUUCCCUGAUACUUUAAGUAUCCUAAAGGGUUGUCGGAGACUACGACGUUGAUAGGUCAGGUGUGUAAGUGCUGUGAGGCAUUGAGCUAACUGAUACUAAUUGCCCGUGAGGCUUAACCAUACAACACCCAAGGGGUUU